rnacentral:lncRNA from 1 species
CUAAAUGAGAACACUGACUUCCCAGAUGUAACUGUGAAGAAUCCAAAAGUUAAGAAAAAAGAAGAAACUGACUUGUAACUGGAUCAUCAUUGUCAGGAUUGCAGAUCAUUUGAGGAUCAGAGUGUGAAAACGAGUUUCUCUUUUACAGAUUCUCCAAGAUUUGUUUCUGUGCCCAACUUUCAGAAGAGGAAAAUCACACAUUAUGUUUACAUAAGUAGCAAAAAUAUAUUUAUGGUGAUCUGCAUUUUCAUAAUAAAGUGUCCUAUUGUGAAACAUUUCUGAUAAUGUUUUUAAUGUAUGUAGAAUUUUUAGGAUUUACUGGGAGAAUUAAAGUUUAAUAAUUUUAGAUUAUUUACAUUUCUUCUUAAUAUUCUGCUGUCUAGAAAUAUUAAAAAUUAUACAACUAGGAAAUAAAGUAAAAUAAUAACAUUC